rnacentral:sRNA from 1 species
CACCGUGGGUUCAAAUCCCACCGGUACCGCCACAGAAAACCCCCGUUCGCGCGGGGGUUUUCUUGUUU